rnacentral:rRNA from 1 species
CGCUCAGUACUCUGAGAUACAUGACUAGGAAAAAGUCGAAAGAAGGUAAACGAAGGUGAACCUGCGGUUGGAUCAACACCUUACCUUAAAGAAGC